AAAAAAAAAAGAGUCUUAAGUUCAUUAGUAUUUAAGAGCCAAAAUACGCUGGCCUUGAUUUAUCUUUUCAAAAUAUUUGAAGUCAGACUGUUAAUUUUAUUAACAGAGGCCAGAGAAAUGGGGGAGGAGAAGUAUUUUCAUUUCUCUCCUCUCCUUCAUCUUUUUGAUGACAGUCCCUUAAAGAGGUCAUUAAUAUUUCUGUUUUAGUUUGAGUUGUAUGACCUUUGGCCACCCUGAUUUUACUCCACUAGAAAGCAGAGCUUGAUUUUCACUGGUUUAACCCAGUCUAUGAAAUUAACACUCUACCUGAAGAAUAGAAUAUUAAUCAGGAAUUUUGCACAGGGGAUCAGAGAUUAAAUGGAAUAAUCAGUAAUAGUAGACACUCACUUGGUCAAUAGCUUUUCCUUUUAUUUGAGGAGGUGUAAGACUGGUUAGACAUGUGGAUUUCAAGUCAAAGAAUAGACAUAAAUCCUUUUUCUGUCACUGUAUGAUCUCAGGAAAAUUGCUUAACCCAAGUCUGUUUAUAUACCUGCAACCUGAGUAUUACAUUACUUACCUUAUCAGAUUGUUGGGUGGGAUAAGUAUGAUCAUGGCAAUGUCUGUUUGACAAUGUCAUGCAAUGUUGCAGACUCCAGAGCUUGGCUUUGAUCUGAGCUCCAACUGUUAUUAGUUUUCUGAAUUUAAGCUAGAUACUAUUUUCUUUAAUCUAUAAAAUUGAGAAUAAGAACAGUAUUUCCUUAUAGAGUAAUUGUGAUAAAUAAGGAUUACAGAGUACUAGCGUGUAGUCAAGACUUAAUAUAUGUUAACAGCUGAGUUGGUGAUGUGGCUGUAAUAAUGAGGAUGAUGAUAUAAAACCUUGACAUAACUGUUCUUUAGAAAAAUACAGAUGCCUUCAUUGAAUAAAUCCUGCAUCAGAAGCCCCAGAAUAUUUAUUAAAACACAAAUUGCUGGGUGCCAGCCUUAGCGCUUCUGAUUUAAAAGGUCUGAGAUGUGGCCCAAGAAUUUGUAUUUCUAACAAGUAUCCAAGAGAUGCUGAUGGCUCUUCAUCUGCGGAUCACACUUUGAGAACUAGUGCUGUAGAUAAACCGUUCCAUAAUCCUAAAGGCUUGUGAAAAAAGGAGUCUGUCACUUACGGAAAAGUUGGCCACUUCCCUCUUCUUAGACUCUUGAGCUAAGGUUGUACACUUUAAACAUGUUUAAAAUUAUUUAUUAAAGUUGAUUUAUAUGUUGUGCCCAUUUCUUUUUUAUAAUGUUUUUUAUUUUUUCCAUUAUGGCUGGUUGAUAGUGUUCUGUCAAUUUUCUACUGUAUAGCAAGGUGACCCAAUCACACAUACAUAUAUACAAUCUUUUUUCUCACAUUAUCAUGCGCCACCAUAAGUGAUUAGUUAUUGUUCCCAGGGCUAUACAGCAGGAUCUCAUUGCUUAUCUAUUCCAAAGGCAAUAGUUUGCAUCCGUUAACCAUAAAUAUCCAGUCCAUCCCACUCACUCCUCCUCCCUCCUGGCAACCAUGGGGGGAAAUCUGUUCUCCAUGGACAUGAUUUUCUUUUCUGUGGAAAGGUUCAUUUGUGCCCUAUAUUAGAUUCCAGAUAGAAGUGGUAUCAUAUGGUAUUUGUCUUUCUCUUUCUGAAUUACUUCAUUUAGUAUGAAAGUCUCUAGUUCCAUCCAUGUUGCUGCAAAUGGCAUUAUUUUGUUCCUUUUAUGGCUGAGUAGUAUGCCAUUGUGUAUAUAUACCACAUCUUCUUAAUCCAGUCAUCUGUUGAUGGACAUUUAGGUUGUUUCCUUGUCUUGGCUCUUGUGAAUAGUGCUGCAAUGAACAUUGGAGUCCAUGUGCCUUUUCGAGUCAUGGUUUUCUCUGCAUAGAUGCCCAGGAUUGGGAUUGCUGGGUCAUAUGGUAGUUCUAUAUAUAGUUUUCUAAGGUACCUCCAUACUCUUUUCCAUAGUGGCUGUACCAAUUUACAUUCCCACCAACAGUGCAGAAGGGUUCCCUUUUCUCCACACCCUCUCCAGCAUUUUGUUAUUUGUAGACCUAUUAUUGAUGGCCAUUCUAACUGGUGUGAGGUGGUUCCUCAUAGUAGUUUUGAUUUGCUUUUUCUCUAAUAAUCAGAGAUGUGGAGCAUUUUUUCAUGUGCUUGUUGGCCAUCUGUAUGUCUUCUUUGGAGAAAUGGCUAUUCAGGUCUUUUGCCCACUUUUCAAUUGGGUUGUUGGCCUUUUUGCUGUUGUAUAAGUUGUAUAGUUUAGAGAUUAAGCCCUUGUCAGUUGCAUUAUUUGAAACUAUUUUCUCCUAUUCUGUAAAUUGUCUUUUUGUUUGUUUUUGGGUUUCCUUUGCUGUGCAAAAGCUUGUCAGUUUGAUUAGGUCCCAUUGGUUCAUUUUUGCUUUUAUUUCUGUUGCCUUGGGAGACUGACCUGAGAAAACAUUUGUAAGGUUGAUGUCAGAGAAUGUUUUGUCUAUGUUCUCUUCUAGGAGUUUGAUGGUCCAAUUUCUUCUGUAUAGCAAAUUGACUCAGCCAUACAUAUCUAUACAUUAUUUUUUUAUAUUAUUUUCUAUCAUGGUCUAUCCCAGGAGAUCGGAUAUAGUUCCUUGUGAAAGGUUGUACACUUGAUAUAAAUGUGUGGUCAUGUCAGAUAGUUUUCAUAUUGUCUUCAUCAAGGUAACAUCUUAGGAGUAAGGUGAAUCACAUAUUAGUUGUCAGUUUCUUUCACAUCUCUCUUUAUAUAAUAGACAUUAAUUUUGAACUUUUCCCCUGUUGGAAAUUAUCUCAUGUUCCCAUGGGAAUCUUUUAAACAGUCAAUCUGAUGCAAAAUCAAGAGUGAUGAUUGACUUUUUUUUUUUUUUUUUAAGGCUGCACCUGUGGCAUAUGGAAGUUCCCACGAUAGGGAGUGAGUCUGAGCUGCAGGUGCCAGCCUACACCACAACCAUAGCAACACCAUAUCCGGGCCAUGUCUGCAACCUACACCACAGCUCACAGCAAUGCCAGAUCCUUAACCCACUGAACGAGGCCAGGGAUCUGCAUCCUCAUGGAUACGAGUCAGGUUUGUUUACGCUAAACUACAAUGGGAACUUCCAAGAUGUAAAAAAUAGGUGUAUUUCAGUUAACUUGUUAGGCACUUUUCUCAGAAUAUGCAUUGAAGAAAAAGGGGCUAUAUAAUUAAAUAGUAUCUAGUUUUUCUUCAUUGGAGUUUAGAAAAAAAAUAUUUUUUAGCUGUCAGUUGACUAAGACUUUUAAGUUGAGUAAAAUCAGAGUUCUCUUGUGGUGCAGUAGAGUUAAGUAUUUGGUGUUGUGAACUGCAGUACCUCAGAUUGCUACUAUAACACAGGCUCGAUCCCUGGCCCUGAAACUUUGACAUGUUGCUGGUGUAGCCAAAAAAAAACCCAAUAAAUUGAGUAAAAUCCAUUUCCUCCGUCACUUAUUUGUAGCCAAACAAAAAUCAUGUUUUGUUUUUGUUUUUUCUAUUUAAGAUGUCUGGCUGGGAAUUCCCAUUGUGGCUCAGCGGUAACGAACCUGACUAGUAUCCAUGAGGACUCAGGUUUGAUCCUAGGCCUUGCUCAGUGGGUUAAAAAUCCAGCAUUGCCGUGAGCUGUGGUGUAGGUUGCAGACACGGCUCAGAUCUGGCAUUGCUGUGACUGUGGCGCAGGCCGGCAGCUGCAGCUCGGAUUCAACCCCUAGCCUGGGAAUGUCCAUAUGCUGCAGGUGUGGCCCUAAAAAGCAAAACCAAAAAAAAAAGUCGGGUUCUAUAGCAUUGAACACACUCCAGCAGCUGCCUUGAUUUAUAUUUAAUAUGUCUUAACUUUUCCCUGAAGAUCCUUUAGAAUUCAUUUUAUAGAAAAAGUAGAGUAUAUGUGAGUGUGUGUAUACAAAGAAAAACAAAGUUUCUUAAUGUUAAAAAUAGUUCUGAAACAUUCUAUUUAAUGGUAAAUUCUGUUUGCCCAAAUAGCACUCUGACUAGGUAUUUGAUCCUAUAAAAUUGAGUUGAUCUCUUUGGGCAGUAGUUCUUGAAUCUAUAAGGUCUGAGGUUUAAACUAUAUCAUUUCUAAGGACAUUUCAAGUCCAAUGGAUCUCAGAUGUUUUAUAUUUUCUUGUUAUAAAUGGAUUUUUUGGCAAGGUGAUCCGUAUCAGCUGUUUAUCCUAAGCUACAAUAUUUUUAUAUCUAGCCCACAAAUAUACCAUUAGAAUUAGUGAAUGUCUUUAAAUUAAUAUGAUACCUUCUUAAUAUCUUAAAACAAGUGUGGUUUUACUGAAGCAGAUACCACAAGAACAGCUUUUACAACCUCAGGAAAGUGUCACUGCAAUUCUCUGGAUAUAUUAUUGUUUGAUCUCCAAAGUUAGGACAGUGGUGAUAUGUCUUUAAUCUUGUUACUUAUCUCAAUGGAGUAUUUGUGUAUUAGGUUUACUUACUAGGUGUUGGCAGUGAGAAUAGAGAGGGUGAGAAUAGUGGUGUGAAAUUGAUUGAACUUGAAGGAAAGGCAGGAAUUGAGGGAGUGGUGAAGGGAAGAAGAGGAUGGUGAAGUAAGAAGGCAAGUUAGAUGUUAUUUGAAAAUUCUAUUCUUGUUGCAUAGCAUGAACUUCAAAGGAGGAUUUCCACUUCCGAUAGUGAAUUUGAACCCUCUCAGGACAUACAGCUAAAUAGUGGGUAAUUAGACAUUUGGAACUGGAACUAAGUCUUAGGAGUCAUCAACAAAUGAGUAAUUGUUAAAGCUGCAGAUGAGAAGGAUA
rnacentral:lncRNA from 1 species